rnacentral:rRNA from 1 species
UAGGGAAUCUUCCACAAUGGACGCAAGUCUGAUGGAGCAACGCCGCGUGGGUGAAGAAGGUCUUCGGAUCGUAAAACUCUGUUGUUAGAGAAGAACACGAGUGAGAGUAACUGUUCAUUCGAUGACGGUAUCUAACCAGCAAGUCACGGCUAACUACGUGCCAG